CCUACGGGCGGCAGCAGUGAGGAAUAUUGGUCAAUGGCCGGAAGGCUGAACCAGCCAUGCCGCGUGAAGGUCAGUGCCCUAUGGGCGUUAAACUUCUUUUGUGCGGGAGCAAUAAUGGUCACGUGUGGCCAGACGAGAGUAUCGUACGAAUAAGGAUCGGCUAACUCCGUGCCAGCAGCCGCGGUAAUACGGAGGAUUCAAGCGUUAUCCGGAUUUAUUGGGUUUAAAGGGUGCGUAGGCGGUCGGAUAAGUUAGAGGUGAAAUCCCGGUGCUCAACACCGGAACUGCCUCUAAUACUGUUGAACUAGAGAGUAGUUGCGGUAGGCGGAAUGUAUGGUGUAGCGGUGAAAUGCUUAGAGAUCAUACAGAACACCGAUUGCGAAGGCAGCUUACCAAACUAUAUCUGACGUUGAGGCACGAAAGCGUGGGUAGCAAACAGGAUUAGAUACCCCAGUAGUC
rnacentral:rRNA from 1 species